rnacentral:rRNA from 1 species
UCCGUAGGUGGAUAAUUAAGUCAGAGGUGAAAUCCUGCAGCUCAACUGUAGAAUUGCCUUUGAUACUGGUUAUCUUGAGUCAUUAUGAAGUGGUUAGAAUGUGUAGUGUAGCGGUGAAAUGCAUAGAUAUUACACAGAAUACCGAUUGCGAAGGCAGAUCACUAAUAAUGUACUGACACUGAGGGAUGAAAGCGUGGGGAGCGAACAGGAUUAGAUACCCUGGUAGUCC